rnacentral:lncRNA from 1 species
GUCCCACUAACUUUGCAAAACAGUUGCUGAGCUGCAAGUUUACGUUUCAGCCUCUGGAAACUCAGUGUCUAGGUUGGCAGCAGUAAUCUGGGAACAAGAAAAUCAAAUUCUGUCCUAUAUCUUAAUUUCUCCUUUCUCACUAGUUAAUACAUGUGAUUGCUGCCCAGCACACAGUACUUCAGCCCCAAACUACAGCAAUUUAAAAUGACCGUCACACAUUUCUGUUAUAUAAAAGUUCCAUGCUUUGAAGAACCUAUGGGAGUAGAAAAAGUUUCUCUAGAAAUGUCACUGAAUUGUGAUUUCAACCUAUUUGCUCUAUGUGAUAAAUAUAUCUGACUAUACUAGGGAUUAUGUACUUUAAAAAAAUAAUUUUGUUCACUGAAAAUUUACCUGUGUUUUCUCUCAUUUUUUAAAUGUGAUUUUGGCUAUAAACUCUUUAGUGCAUUUAUCUUUGCAGUCUAAAUUGCACGCUAAAAAAUAUUAACACAGCUGAGUUAGACCAGGGUGGCUGCUCUCUUCACAAAUCACUGAUUUAUGCUUUGGACAAAGAAGAGAAUCCUGAAAAAUGGUUCAUCAUUCUACCCUCUUAACUGGGCAGUCUCUCAACAGGAAAAUCUGUGCAUGUGAUGAAGCUGUGGCUAACUCA